rnacentral:rRNA from 1 species
AAUUUUGGACAAUGGGGGCAACCCUGAUCCAGCCAUCCCGCGUGUGCGAUGAAGGCCUUCGGGUUGUAAAGCACUUUUGGCUGGGAGGAAAAGUCUUGGGUUAAUACCCGGAGGUGCUGACGUUACCUGCUGAAUAAGCACCGGCUAACUGUGUGCCAGCAGCCGCGGUAAUACGUAGGGUGCAAUCGUUAAUCGGAAUUACUGGGCGUAAAGGGUGCGUAGGCGGUUUAGCAAGAUGGGUGUGAAAUCCCCGGGCUUAACCUCGGAACUGCAUUCAUAACUGCCAGGCUAGAGUACGUUAGAGGGGAGUAGAAUUUCCUGUGUAGCGGUGAAAUGCGUAGAGAUAGGGAGGAAUACCAGUGGCGAAGGCAACUACCUGGGAUAAUACUGACACUCAGGUGCGAAAGCGUGGGGAGCAAACA